AAGUCGUGACAAGGUAGCCGUAUCGGAAGGUGCGGCUGGAUCACCUCCUUUCUAAGGAGUCAGGCAGACACGGACACUACGGUGGCCGAUGGCUGGUACAGGGAUUUGAAGAGUUUGACUGUAUUGUUUAAUUUUGAGGGCCCUGUUGAGCGUAAGCUCAGCGGAGACUUCAAAGCAGAAGACAGAGGCCAUCCCAUGUAUGGGGGUGUAGCUCAGCUGGGAGAGCACCUGCCUUGCACGCAGGGGGUCAGGAGUUCGAACCUCCUCAUCUCCACCAGAUGUGGGCUCAUAGCUCAGGUGGUUAGAGCGCACGCCUGAUAAGCGUGAGGUCGGUGGUUCGAGUCCACUUGAGCCCACCAACCCGAAAGGGUAAUCCGCGAAGAAAUUUGCGGGUACAAUGGUAUGGAAACUGUUUAAUGCGAAUGCACCUUGAAAACUGAAUAUUGAAACUGAAAAGACUACGAGAAAAAGCGAAAAUUAGAUUAACAAAAUCUACAAUUUCAAAAAAUUCUUUUAGUUGGCAAAUGUAGAAUCAAAAGAAAAAACGGUCAAGUUAGAAAGGGCGCAGGGCGAAUGCCUUGGCACUGGGAGCCGAUGAAAGACGUGAUAAGCUGCGAUAAGCUGCGGGGAGAUGCAAAUAAUCUUUGAUCCGCAGAUUUCCGAAUGGGGAAACCC
rnacentral:misc_RNA from 1 species